rnacentral:rRNA from 1 species
CCUACGGGGGGCAGCAGUGAGGAAUAUUGGUCAAUGGGCGCGAGCCUGAACCAGCCAAGUAGCGUGAAGGAUGACUGCCCUACGGGUUGUAAACUUCUUUUAUAAAGGAAUAAAGUGAGGCACGUGUGCCUUUUUGUAUGUACUUUAUGAAUAAGGAUCGGCUAACUCCGUGCCAUCAGCCGCGGUAAUACGGAGGAUCCGAGCGUUAUCCGGAUUUAUUGGGUUUAAAGGGAGCGUAGAUGGGUUGGUAAGUCAGUUGUGAAAGUUUGCGGCUCAACCGUAAAAUUGCAAUUGAUACUGGCAGUCUUGAGUACAGUUGAGGUAGGCGGAAUUCGUGGUGUAGCGGUGAAAUGCUUAGAUAUCACGAAGAACUCCGAUUGCGAAGGCAGCUUACUAAACUGCCACUGACAUUGAUGCUCGAAAGUGUGGGUAUCAAACAGGAUUAGAUACCCCUGUAGUC